GCAGCUUUAGCUCACUUGGGAGAGCGCCAGACUGAAGUCCAACUUCGGUUACAAACCUGUGCGGUAUCUGGAGGUACUGUGUUCGAUCCACAGAAGCUGCA
rnacentral:tRNA from 1 species